GGGCACAUGGUGUAGUUGGUUAUCACGCUCGCUUAGCAAUGCGAGAGGUGUUGGGUUCAAUUCCCAAUGCGUCCA
rnacentral:tRNA from 1 species